rnacentral:lncRNA from 1 species
CCAAGCUCCCGGCAGGCUGCGCGGCGCUCCUGGCGUGCACCUUGGCGUGCGGAGCUGGCACCUUGGCGCCGUGGGCGGCGGCGGGGACAGCUGUAGAGUGUGAAGUUCCUUGUCUGCUGGCAGCCAGAGGCGACGAGUCUGGAUGUCAUGGAAGUGAAGGAUGCCAAUUCUGCGCUUCUCAGUAACUACAAGGUAAAUUGAACUGUUACAUUUUCCUCUCUGAUAAUUUGCCCUUUGUAACUAAGAUUGUUGAAUUCAUUUUGAUUAGAAAUGACUGAAUUCAGGCCAGUUGCAAUGGCUCACGCUUAUAAUCACAGUACUUUGGGAGGCCGAGGCAGGUGGAUCAUUUGAGGUCAGGAGUUCAAAACCAGCCUGGCCAACAUGGUGAAACCCAAUCUUUACUAAAAAUACAAAAAUUAGCCAGGUGGGGUGGCACGUGC